GGGCCUGUAGCUCAGAGGAUUAGAGCACGAGGCUACGAACCACGAUGUCGGGGGUUGAAUCCCUCCUCGCCCA
rfam:Solanum lycopersicum cultivar Heinz 1706 chromosome 11, whole genome shotgun sequence.